rfam:Alligator mississippiensis ScZkoYb_184, whole genome shotgun sequence.
UAAUGAUGGAACAAAACCUAAAUUAGCUGGAAUUACUGGCAGAUUGGUGGUGGUGAGAGGUUUUUUUCCUGAAU